AUCCUCUCUACAGUCUACACCCUUGUAAUAGCACCACCCUCUCCUCCAUCGCACCAACCAAGCACACAGUCGCUCGCUAGCGAAGCACGCGAUCUCGCAAUUCGCAAGCAAACCAACCAAACCAAGAAAACCGAGGAAGAAGGAGGCGAAAGCCAUUAGCCAUCCAUGGAGGCCAACAAGAGCAGCAAGCCGGAGAGAUCAUCAUCUCAGCCCACCCACGACGCCGUCGUCCCGGCGUCGGCGAGCGGCGGCGCUGCGGCCUCCUGCGAGGCGGGCAGGACGCCAUCGUCCGGUGGCUUGCCGUUGUCCACCGCCGCGUCGAGCGAGAAGAGGCCGGGCUCCGGCGGCGGCGGCGAGCUGCCAGGGUGGAAGCUGGACUGCCUCUGCAGGGAGUCCGGCAUGUCGGCGGCGGUCAUCAGCGGGGGAUUCCCCUGCUUCUGAUCGAGUACAACUAGGCUAGGCUCCUGUAUUUGGACGCAAGAAUUUUUGUUUGGAUCGCGUCGGAAUUCAAACUAUUCUCGGUGAAAUCUCUCUGAAAUUCUCGCGUUUCAAACAGGGCUUUGCAAAGCAUACUUUACUACGUACUUGUCUUGUCUAGUUUGGUUGUGUUGCUGUGAGCUAUGAUCCAUAUAUAUGAUAUAUGUUCAUCAUGUUCAUUUGUUUGUUUCUUUUCACUCUUAAGUAUAAGGUUGUAAGAGAUCAUGCUGAUCAAGUUCUACUGAUCUUGUAAUUCAGGUCUGCCAAUUCUUCUUAGAAAAGCUUAUGAUUAAUGAUUUAUUUUAUGGACAUAGACACACCAACCAAAA